rnacentral:rRNA from 1 species
GGGGGGGGGGGGGGGGGGGCGGGGGGGGUGGGGGGGGGGCGGGGGGGCCGUGGUUGCGGGGUGGGGGGGUGGCGGACGGGGGAGUAACAGGUGGGUGGUCUGCCCCGUACUUUGGGGUAAGCCUGGGAAGCUGGGGCUAAUGCUGGAUAGGACCAUGCUGUAGGUGGUGUGGUGGAGAGAUUAGUUUCGGUAAGGGAUGAGCUCGCGGCCUAUCAGCUUGGUCGUGGGGUAAUGGCCUACCAAGGCGUCGACGGGUAGCCGGCCUGAGAGGGUGGACGGCCACAUUGGGACUGAGAUACGGCCCAGACUCCUACGGGAGGCAGCAGUGGGGAAUAUUGCACAAUGGGCGCAAGCCUGAUGCAGCGACGCCGCGUGGGGGAUGACGGCCUUCGGGUUGUAAACUCCUUUCAGCCAUGACGAAGCCCUUGUGGUGACGGUAGUGGUAGAAGAAGCACCGGCUAACUACGUG